rnacentral:rRNA from 2 species
UGGGGAAUCUUCCGCAAUGGACGAAAGUCUGACGGAGCAACGCCGCGUGUAUGAAGAAGGCCUUCGGGUUGUAAAAUACUGUUGUCAGGGACGAACCGUAUAUGUGUAAAUAAUGCAUAUACCUGACGGUACCUGACGAGGAAGCCCCGGCUAACUACGUGCCAGCAGCCGCGGUAAUACGUAGGGGGCAAGCGUUGUCCGGAAUUAUUGGGCGUAAAGGGCGCGUAGGCGGCUGUAUAAGUCUGAUGUGAAAGUGCGGAGCUUAACUCCGUAAAGCAUUGGAAACUGUACGGCUUGAGGACAGGAGAGGAAAGUGGAAUUCCACGUGUAGCGGUGAAAUGCGUAGAUAUGUGGAGGAACACCAGUGGCGAAGGCGACUUUCUGGACUGUAACUGACGCUGAGGCGCGAAAGCGUGGGGAGCGAACAGG